rnacentral:lncRNA from 1 species
GCAUGUUGGUAAAUGCUAAGUAAGUGCAUAUAAGCAUGUCAUGAUGAAAUGCUAGAUGAAUAGAUGCAUGUAACUAACGCUAAGAGAAUGCAUUUGGGCAUAAUGGAUAGAGGCAUGUCGAUGAAUGCAAGUAGAUAAUGCAUGUUAUAGAAAUGCUAGCUAAGCUGCAUGAUUACAUGACGAGCAUAAUGUAGAUAAUGCAUGUUAUAGAAAUGCUAACUAAGUGCAUGAUUACAUGAUGAGCAUUGUGAGGAUAUGCUUGAUUCAGAUGAGUCAAACAUAGGUUGAACAGAAAUGACAUGAACCUAGUGUUAGAGAACAUAGGUCGGGUCUGAACGACAGUGAACCUAAAGUCAUGAACAUAGGUUGAACGUGAAUGACAGGGAACCUAGUGUCGUGAACCUAGGAAAGAUCGAGUAGCAUCUAACCUAGUGUCAAAGAACAUAGGUUGGACAUCAAGUGGCAUUAAACCUAGUGUCUUGAACAUAGGUUGAAUAAGUAUAGUGUGAACCUAGUGUCAUGUAUGUUAGGACACUUAUGGUAUUUGAGCAUAUUUAUAUUUGUAGUCAUGCAUUAUAGGGUGUUUGGCAUUGUGCGAGUGAAAAUGUGAAUUACUAUCAACAGUAAGAACUUGUGAACCUUAGAAUGUGGACAUAGAACCCUAUGAAUGCAUGGACUAUAACAAUAGUGAACUUGGUGACAUUCUAACUAGAGAUUUGGUUAGCAUCGAGCAAUAAAAUUGUGAAACUAGCAUAAAGAGCUAGUUAGAGUUCAAUUGUGGCAUGGCCAGUUAUUGAAUCCUCUAAAGGAGGAUUGGAUCUUACUCACAUAGUCUGUUUUUAGCUUGGUGGAGGUCGCUCCCCCCAGGCAGUGAGCUCCGGAGUUGUCACACGAUGGGCUAACGUACUUGCCCUUGGACUAACGUACUUGUCCAGCAGACGGUCCCUAGGGUGGUUCGAGUCCCCCGUUAUUAAGGGAUUUUGGGUUGUGAGUUAUUGGGGUUAACAAGUGUUAACCGGUAAGAUUGGGUAAAAGCCAAAGUGAUUGGGAAAAAGCAUGCAUUAUGAGCUAUAGAUUGGGUAUCCUUGUCGAGUGGAUUUUGGGGCUGAGGUGUAUGUGAGACGUCCAUUACCUCGAGUCUGGAUGUAUGCGGUAUUCCGCAGAUGAUUGACUCAAGACCGAGUCGGAUGGAUAGCUUUGUUAAGGUAAUAGAAACCUUAAAGCUAGUGGCAAAGGCAAGAACUAAGGUAGUAGAGACCUUAGAAACAAGUUGAGCUUGGUAAUGGAACUAAGGUAAGUAGAAACCUUAGGGGUAAAGGACUUGAGCUGAGAUUAGCCAGUGGAAUGUAGAGUCAAUGGACCUACUAGUGAAUAGUGGAUUAUAUAGAUGCAUAGUGGCAUAGAAAUGCAUGAUAUCCAUAUUGCAUAUCGUGAGGCAAUGCAAGGUUUCAUUAGUUGCAUAAUUUAGAUAUAUAUAUAUCUAUCUGUUUAUUGAACUAACCUGCAGGUUGCCUCUCUUUGACCUAUUGGUCGAGCUUUUCCCUUGGGUGGCCGUACCCACUGGGAACCAUGGAGUUGGUUCUCACCCCACGUUGUUUUGGGGUGUUACAGGUUCGCACGUGAGCGGCGCGGCGGCGCGAGGCAAGGGCGUAGCUUCGUAGAUAGCGCCCUACCCAGAGACCAGAGUUAGCAGUACCCCGUCGACAUAGCUUAGGGGUAUGGGGUGUUAUUAAUGAAAAGAACACAAUGUAUCAACGUGUAAAUAAAUUUGUAAGAACUUAGAUUGCAUUUGGAUGAAAAAGAAUGUAAAAAGAACUGUGAUGUAAAAAGUAUGAAUGUAAAUGUUUGUAAUAAUAUAGGAUGUGUUUAUGUUGUUUGAUACCUUCCAUUAUGCAAUCUUGAUUGAUAUCAGUUCCUGAUUGGAACCUUCGUAUUGUAUGGAUUGCGUUGCCUUGAAUGUACAGGGGAGACUCUGUCCGCAGUACAGGGGAAACCCUGUCCAUUUGGCACUGUUGGCGGCGCCGCGAACCCGACCAAAUAGGCGGCGGUCGCGGGUCGUGACAGAAGAUGGUAUCAGAGCAUAAAGUAGAAAAUGGGGAAAUGGUUUAGGGAGACCUAGGAGACCCUAGGAUAGUAAACCAUAGGAGAAUAAGGCUCGUGAGAGACGAGAACUUGUUACUUGUGGCGAAAGGUUUAUGGAUUUGGUCGUGUCGUAAGCCUCUAAAACGGAUGUUAGAGGUAGACUCGAGGUUUAGUUUAUUCUCAACCGAGAGUGUUCAUGUUGGGUAUACACAACAUGAAACCUGGUGAUGAGAAUAAGCUCCCUUGUAUGACUUUCGCCCGAUUUGAAUCAGUGUCAAUUGUUUCACGCUCGACCUUGAGGGUCGAGAAUCGACCGAGUUGUCGUGUCUUAGGAAGCGAGGGCACCGCGUAGGCGAUCUUCAGGUAGAUCGGCGCGGGUUGGGACGAGUGUCGUUCCUCAGCAAUCCGAGGCGAGCGGAGAUUUGGGACUUCGUGGGAAAUUGGCCACUACUGUGUGAGUGGCGGGGUGACGAGCCGAAUUAGUGCGGCGUCAGCAGGAAGCUGCCGUAUGCCAGGAGGAGCGAAUGAGAAGACUCCAGGAAACGAUAGAUCAGCUGGGGGCCGUACCAGCUGCCGUUCGUCGAGUACGACCGGGAGUUGCGACGGAAGUAUUUCCGUCGGGGUUGAACAAUCUGGCUUUUAGCAUCUCGGAAGCAAAGACGUUGAGGGUGCCAGCUUUGGCGGCCCUCGUGACCUUUAAGCGAUUUGAUCCGUCUGCCUUUGAUAGAGAGAAUACGGAUCCGUUGAUCGUGGAGUUGUGGGUCGACUCCAUGGAAACUCCCUUUGGGGACUUGUGUACUGUAGAGUGGGAUAAGGUACACCUAGCCGUGCGUUACUUGCAAACAAUCGGCGGAGGUGUGGUGGAAAGGCAUUCGACGGAAUCGAUUGCCUAGUUUUCCUCCUAUGAUUCGGAAUGAGUUUCGAGGAUCAAUAUUCCCUGUUUACUUUCCCGAUGCUGAGAAAGAAAAGCUUCAGGAAAGGUUCCCGAAGCUACGGAGGUAGACCGUGCCGUGAGGGAAUAUGAGCGGAAAUUCUCUCGUAUCGUGAGUUGUGUCCCGAACGUAGUGCGGGAUGACAAGGAAUUGGCCGAUGUGCCUCUGCGGAGACCUUGGCCGGACGUGGUCGAGGUGGUGCAUGUAAGGAAGUUACUUCUCGGAAUACGAGAGUUAGACUUCGCUUAGAAUCGACCAAGGGUCGUGUUGGUGUGCUUCGGAAAAGCCGAAGAUGUUUAAGUCACCAAAAGUGCGUUGGAGUUGGAGUCCACGAGAGCAAAUAGUGCAAAGUCUGCACUUGGCGGAGAUUGCUCUCGGGGACCGGUCCUUGGCAGGGAGAGACCGCUCCCCGUAGCUGUUGGUCGCGGGGUUGCUUGAUGCAACUGGUCCUUGGGCCAGAGGAACCGGUCCCCGUAGCUUGAAAUUGCCCAGUUUUGGGCAGUGCACAUUCUUGAGUUGUGGUUGCAAUCCCAACCGAGGAAGUGUCAUCUACUUAACGUUUCGGGAUGUGGGAUUGUAGAAGUUCUCACCAGGCACAGCGGUGUGCGCUGCGUGAUGAAAAGUGAUUUGUUGGGGAUAGCCAGACCUUAGGAUUGGCGAUGGCUUUCUCCUCUCCGAGACAACCUGCAGGUGUGUCACCUACAGCCUGGUCUGGAGAGUGAGUGGCGAGGAGGUGACAACCGAAGGGUUCGCAGCUGGUGCCAAGAGGUCGUGGAUAUGCAAACCGGGUUGUGAAACCUGCUGCUAUCGACGAUAUCGUGGCAGUUAUGAGUUAAUUGAAGCAAGCAUAGGCUUCUGUAGGAUGUGAAGUUGGUGCAUGCAUGCAUAUACCAUGUGGUCAGUUACUACAAUCGAUAUGGCAUCGUAGUAGGGACCGGAGGGACGGGUAAGCGUAGGUACCCGGGCAUGCUUGCAUUGUGAGAGCGUAUCACCUGUUUGAGCAGGUAGAGAGCUAGAUAGCACUAGCAGAUGCUGGUGAUGAUUGUGGGACGAGAAAUGAGACUCGUGGUAAAGACGAAACGGUGAAGUGACUCUCAAGACAACGGGUAGUUGAAUGUGAGAGUUGCGCCGUGACCUUGAGGAUACCCGAGUAGUCCGAGUAUUCGGAUAUAGAUCCGGUAGGUUGAACAGUGGAAAGUAGACUCACUGUCGAGAGAAUAGCCGGUUACAUGCUGAGUACAGGCACGUAGGCCUAGUAGUACCUCAGUUUGAGGUUGGAAGUUGCGCUUGUUUGGUCGGCGUGCAUAGGCAGCGUUGCCUAUUGCUGGAUGUAGUGUGGAACGCUAUAGAGACGUACGACGUAAAGAGCGCUCGAGUAUAGAUACUCGUAGAGUGCGGAUUUGACUCAGCCGGAAGAGUGUGUUGGCAGUAGCACUUCAGCAUUGCUAGUGUGAAGCGGGCCAUGGAACACUCGUAGGGCUGGUGGCUCGCACUAGGUGCUUAGGAGCCGAUAGUGGUAUAUGUGACUCGAUAGAGUGUGUCGUGUAGGACGACGACGGCGGGUAGUGCUUGGGGACGACCCGUGCCUGGACUAUUUGUGGACUGUGGAGCCUGGACCCAUUGGGCAGGCGCAGUCAGCUGUGAGAGACAGCGGCCCGAUACCUACGGGUGGGGCAGAGUUUUGGUCAGGGCGGUAGUCCGAGCUUGGACCCGAGUGCGUGGAAUGCCACGUGUGGAUCAUGAGAUCGAGGAUACACCGAGUGUGUAGUGACCCAACCCAAGGAUUUGACGUGGUUUGGGGUCCUAGUUGCUCCUGGUUGGAGUGUGUGCGAAUUCUCCAAUGAGAAUUUCGCCGAAUAAUAAUGAUUGGGUCUACGCUAGUGAGCGAGAGAUGCUACGCGUAGUUGAGACCGGUUUAGGCGAUAGGCCUACGUAGGGUUGGUGACCCGUGGUUCACCUGUGGAUUUAAGGAAAGGGAUUGAGCGAGUAGCCUUAUCGACGAGUUUAGGCUUGAAUUUACGAACGGGAGUUCAUGUGAGUUCGUUGCAAGAACGAGUUGAUGAUGAUCGUGGCAUAUGGUAUUCAAGGAUAUACUGCUCGUGCGAGACAUUGAGCUAUUGGAAGCCACGAGAGAUAGAGGAUCGAAGUUGAUGCUCCUAAGUGAAUUGGGGCUUGAGGAUAAUGCUCUUUGAUGGAUUGAGAUUGGAGAUGUGCCGAAAUGUGCCAUCUCAUAAUAGAGCAAAGAUCCAUAUGUAGUUGGAGCACUCGCGAUUGGUCGAUGCACCCAUGAUAUUGCUUCUAAGCAAUGUCGGUGAUCGAAUCGGAGUGUGUUCCCUGACAGGAAGGUAAAUGCAAAGAAGAGUUCUUGCAUACCAAGUGGUGAAUGAUGUUGUAGCGCGUAGAGUCGUUGAGUUCCGACUUGCGCUACCACAAAGAAUGGCGGAGACCCGUAAUGCACUUUCGGGGUUAUGCUUAACAAAUGUGAGUGAAUCUGGUCUCACAUUCCCCGUAGUGGGCCUUUGGACAGUUCCAAUGAGCAUAAGGCCACUCUGAGGUGGAAAAGUGCAUUGUACACCUUGAUACUCGAUAAGUUAAGUUGGGGUGCAAAUUGGAGUUGGAUUUAUUUGAGUUUCGAGGACGAAACUCCUUUUAAGGAGGGGAGAAUGUAACAUACCGAACUUCUAAAAUCAUGAAGUUACGGUGUACAUUUAAAUGUUUCCGGUGAGGUUGCGGUGGAAUGUAACAUACCGGAUUUUAAAUAUAAAAAUAAAAAUAAAUAAAAAUAGUAUGAGAUACUAUUUUUAUUGGGUUUAGAGAAGUGAAAUAUAGAUUGGAAAUGACCUGUGCUGAAAUCGGAGUGAAAACAGAAAACUUAGAAUUUUCUGUUGGAAUCGGGGCAGAUAAAUUAGCAGAAAAUGCACAGUGUCAGAAAAUAUUAAAAAUUGGAGGAUAUGUCAGAAAUAUUUUUAUGAGGUUAGAUUUAAAGUUUCAUAUUUUUCUGACACCUGGAAGGUGAAAAAUAAAAUCCAACAAGUUAUCUACUAAGGAUUACAGUUCGGUAAAGUUUUCAGUGUCCAAACGGGGUCGAAACUGAAAUAUUAAAAUUUCUUUGGACUUAUUAAGUAAAACCGAGCAUGCCUGUCAAAUUUGAGCGAAAACGGACAUCCAGAAGGGCUCCGGCGAAAAAUAAACUGCCCGAAGUGAAUAGUGCAUAGUUGAGGGGCAAAAUGGUAAAAAGGGACUUAAACCCUUUUAUCCUCCUUCCUCCCCAACCGUGGCUGCCCCAAACCGAACCACACACACAUACAAGCACACACGCAUGGAAAGGAAAGGAGAGAAAUCUCUUUCUCUCUCUAGAUCUCUCCUGAAACGGAUGGAUUUGGUGGAGAUUGAAGCUUGGAGGUGGAUCGCCUUCGUCUUCUUCAUCUUCUCCAUAGUUUGGAGCUUAUUUUGAGGUGAGCUUUUCGAUCCCUUUCAUGGUAGAUCUCCAAAGCUUUAUUUAUAAUUCAUAGAAAUGGAUUUGUUGGAAUCCUAUGAUGCUAAAUAGGUGAUUGUUGCUUAAGUUAUGGAUCAAUUUAGUGAAUUUUGCCAUACUUGAAACCUAGGGCUCCAAAAUGCAAAUUUUGCUAGGAGAUGGGUUUGAUCUAAAUUAACCCUCCGUUAACCUAAUUGUUAGGUAAACAAACGCAUUGGCGAAGACGGUUCGGCAAUCCGACGAGCCGUUGCGAAGUUAUUAAAGAAACGGAUGUUUAGGCUUCGGGUCCGCCGGGAGGGCCGAGGCGACGUCGUAAAAUCCUGGAAACGGAUUUGAAGCACCGUAACAGCAAAUCGAAGACCCUUUUUACCCGGGGCUGCGAAGCGAUGCGCGAUUGGUGAGUAAUUUCGAGUUCGGGCCGAACCGGGCACCGGGUGCCGCGGGAGGCCGAUUGCAAGUGUCGACAAGCAAUCGGAACGCGAAUCGAGGUGGGUUGUGCUUACCGAAGCGACUAGAUCGCCUUUAUGUCUAAGAAAAUAUGAUUUCUUAUGAUGCAUAUAGAAAGCAUGUUAUGGUAAUGCUAGUAAUUGCAUAAUUACAUGAUGAGCAUUAUGGCAUAAUGGAUAUAUGCAUAUUAGCAUGUGAGGAAAGUGUGAGAUGAAUACAUGAUGAGCAUAAUGUAGAAAUGCAUGUUAACAUUAUGAAAUGCUGGAUGAGAGAUUCAUAUAGAAAUGAAUGAUAAUGAAUGCAAGCUGAUAAAUGCAUGUUGGUAAAUGCUAAGUAAGUGCAUAUAAGCAUGUCAUGAUGAAAUGCUAGAUGAAUAGAUGCAUGUAACUAACGCUAAGAGAAUGCAUUUGGGCAUAAUGGAUAGAGGCAUGUCGAUGAAUGCAAGUAGAUAAUGCAUGUUAUAGAAAUGUUAGCUAAGCUGCAUGAUUACAUGACGAGCAUAAUGUAGAUAAUGCAUGUUAUAGAAAUGCUAACUAAGUGCAUGAUUACAUGAUGAGCAUUGUGAGGAUAUGCUUGAUUCAGAUGAGUCAAACAUAGGUUGAACAGAAAUGACAUGAACCUAGUGUUAGAGAACAUAGGUCGGGUCUGAACGACAGUGAACCUAAAGUCAUGAACAUAGGUUGAACGUGAAUGACAGGGAACCUAGUGUCGUGAACCUAGGAAAGAUCGAGUAGCAUCUAACCUAGUGUCAAAGAACAUAGGUUAGACAUCAAGUGGCAUUAAACCUAGUGUCUUGAACAUAGGUUGAAUAAGUAUAGUGUGAACCUAGUGUCAUGUAUGUUAGGACACUUAUGGUAUUUGAGCAUAUUUAUAUUUGUAGUCAUGCAUUAUAGGGUGUUUGGCAUUGUGCGAGUGAAAAUGUGAAUUACUAUCAACAGUAAGAACUUGUGAACCUUAGAAUGUGGACAUAGAACCCUAUGAAUGCAUGGACUAUAACAAUAGUGAACUUGGUGACAUUCUAACUAGAGAUUUGGUUAGCAUCGAGCAUAAAGAGCUAGUUAGAGUUCAAUUGUGGCAUGGCCAGUUAUUGAAUCCUCUAAAGGAGGAUUGGAUCUUACUCACAUAGUCUGUUUUUAGCUUGGUGGAGGUCGCUCCCCCCAGGCAGUGAGCUCCGGAGUUGUCACACGAUGGGCUAACGUACUUGCCCUUGGACUAACGUACUUGUCCAGCAGACGGUCCCUAGGGUGGUUCGAGUCCCCCGUUAUUAAGGGAUUUUGGGUUGUGAGUUAUUGGGGUUAACAAGUGUUAACCGGUAAGAUUGGGUAAAAGCCAAAGUGAUUGGGAAAAAGCAUGCAUUAUGAGCUAUAGAUUGGGUAUCCUUGUCGAGUGGAUUUUGGGGCUGAGGUGUAUGUGAGACGUCCAUUACCUCGAGUCUGGAUGUAUGCGGUAUUCCGCAGAUGAUUGACUCAAGACCGAGUCGGAUGGAUAGCUUUGUUAAGGUAAUAGAAACCUUAAAGCUAGUGGCAAAGGCAAGAACUAAGGUAGUAGAGACCUUAGAAACAAGUUGAGCUUGGUAAUGGAACUAAGGUAAGUAGAAACCUUAGGGGUAAAGGACUUGAGCUGAGAUUAGCCAGUGGAAUGUAGAGUCAAUGGACCUACUAGUGAAUAGUGGAUUAUAUAGAUGCAUAGUGGCAUAGAAAUGCAUGAUAUCCAUAUUGCAUAUCGUGAGGCAAUGCAAGGUUUCAUUAGUUGCAUAAUUUAGAUAUAUAUAUAUCUAUCUGUUUAUUGAACUAACCUGCAGGUUGCCUCUCUUUGACCUAUUGGUCGAGCUUUUCCCUUGGGUGGCCGUACCCACUGGGAACCAUGGAGUUGGUUCUCACCCCACGUUGUUUUGGGGUGUUACAGGUUCGCACGUGAGCG